rnacentral:snoRNA from 1 species
UGCCUCUAUGUGUUGCCCCUUCACUGCAUCCUUGGUGAAGUGGGUGUCAGCUGAGGCAGACAGAAACUCUUGUACAGCAUCUGUCUUUAGGAGGCGCUACGUUAGCUCCUCUAACAGCAGUACAAGGACAUGA